GCGCAUGCGCGGCAGCGGGGCUAGCGGGGCUAGCAGGGCUAGCUGGGCUCUGUGGCCCCGGCGCGCCCAGCGGGAUGGGAGCUGCCCGCGGCGCGGGGCGAGCGGGCCUGGCGGAAUGGUAACAGAGGAGUAGAAGCUGUGCACGAUGCUGCUAUUUGGAGAAUGGCACCCACCUCUGUUCAGACAAGAGUUGGCCGUUGUCAGGAGAACAGCUGAGUGCACUCAGCAUGGACUUCUAGUCUGCUACCAGAUCCUGUCUGGGACAGCAUCUGAAUUGCUCAUGUGCAAGGAGGCAAACUGUAUGGACAGCAGGAUGCCGAGAUACACAGAUGGGCUCAUGUUCAUAAUGCUUGGGGUGAUCACUUAUUCACAUAGCAUUCACAGUGUUUAUGGGCUCAUGCUUAUGUGGCUUGGGUAUAGCUUCUAUCAGUCUGGUCUGGAAUGGAGAAAUUUAGCUGGAGCAGUCCAGAGCGCAGCCAGGGCACCUGUGUGAUGCUGGUUCUGGUCUGUGAGCCCUGUCUGUGCCUCUAUGUAACACAAAAGAUGUACCCAUAGAAUGCUAGUCAGGAUCCAUAGCAAAUCAGCUGUAACAUAAAGGCAGAUUGGCCUGGUGUGACAGAGGCUGCCUGCCUGCUUGCAUGUGUUAGGUGAAAGUACAAGGGCUGCUGCAAAAGUAAUGUCUCCUAUUUUAUUAUGUUAGUCUGUGACAUAAAAAGCAGAUGUAUGGCAGCAGAGCUUGAACCUUCCACCAGUAUUCCAUUAUAUUUUGUUGCUGUGUGACAUAUGGCAGCAGAGGCGCGGUCUGACAGAAUGACUUUCUGACAUGGAAGUGCAUAUGAAGCAAAGGUGUGGAAUUAAAUUCCUUAAGGUGGAAAAAAUUGCACCCAUUGACAUUCGUUGGCACCUGCUGAACAUUUAUGGAGACCAAACAGUAGCUGUGAGCACAGUGAGGUGGUGGGUGGUGCAUUUCAGCGGUAGCAACAGUGAUGUGAAAGACAAGCCAUGUUCCCAGCUGCCCUGCACAGAUGCCAUCCCAUGAAAUGAAGAGCAUCUCAAUCAGCUCAUCCACAUGAAUCUGCUAAUGAUGGUGACUAUGUUGAAAAAUAGUGUUUUGUAGCUGAGAAUUUGAUCGAUCAAAUAGCAUUAUUGUGCUCUUUGUAUCUGUUGUUGUUUCCAUGGAAAUAAAUAGGAGGUAUGACUUUUGGAACAACCUGUGUACUUAUUGAGGCUUCUUACCAUGCUAUCAACUGCUCCUAAACUUAGUUGAGUGGCUGAUUGUGAGUAUGAAGGGGGAGUCUGAUGAAAACAAGCUGUUUAUUGUUCUCCACAGCAGCAAAAGAGACAGCUUUAUUGACUCAGAGGACCUGAGGUCUGCCUCGAGCAUCCCACUUCAUAAGCAAUGAGAAGGUCCAGUAGGCUGUGGCAACAGUGGAGGACUGAGGACCAGCAGAGCCUAUAGGCCAACUGCUGGAAACCAGGGACUGUCUAAGGUGUGAUCUUACCCCAGAUUUACUCAGAACAGCUGUCCAUUACACUUGAUAACAUCCUGGCACCCAAAAGAGCCAAGUACUUGUAUCAGACCUGAACAGUGGAAGUGGAAAGCAAGUCUGAAGGAUAAGUAUUGCAUUAUUAUAUUGAAUAAAAUGUUGGUUAGCAAUUGUUACAUAUUAAGUGGGAUCUGAAUUACUUAACACCCGUGCAAUCUAUUUUCUUCUCCAGAAACAGGGGACCGCUUGGAAGGACUGAGGUACCUCAACAAGAGCCAAGUAUUAUAUAAUCUGUGAAGGGUUUAUGACAGAGAUGGAAAUAAUUCUCAAAGACAAAAGCUAUUUAUAAGAUAUUUUCUGCAAAUAUUGCACUGUUUGGAUGGUUUUCAGUUGAUCAUUAAUUACUUUUUUAGAGAGAAAAUUUCUGCUCUGUUGAUCUUUUGGGGUCUACAUUUGGCAUCCGAGGAUGUCUGUGUCUGUAUUGUGCUGCUGCUCAUCUAUCUGCUGAUAUUCAACUUACAUUUAAUUUUUUAAUUUUCUCAGCUGUGAUCUACUGAUUCUAAUUUGCUGUAACUUAUAUUUUGAAGAGACUACUGAAGUGAUUCAGGAACUAGCCUAAGUAAACUGUUUUCAGGUAUUUCACAUAGCUUUGAAAAGUCAUGGAGGAUAGAAGAGACAGCAGAAGACUGAAAAAGAAACAUGAUAACUCUUGGAAAAGCAGAUGGAAGAGUACCCAAGUAAUUUUAAUUAAGUAGCCUAACUAACUUCCUGGAUUUUGGAAAAAAAAUAACCAGUUUCUAAAUGCCUAGAACAUGAUAAGGCAAUAAAAACUUGCUGACACGCGUCUCUCGACAACAUGUGAUACCAAACCAAAUGAAUGUCCUUUUUCUACAUAUGGCCUACUAGAUACAGAUGAAGCAGUAAAUAUUACUCCGUUCCCUGUUGAUACUUGUAAGUAACUAAAGAUGUACAUCCUAGACAAAAUCACUAGAAGGUGAGGAUAGAGGAGGACAACUGCUCAGCAAUACUACUUUUGAAAAGUAGCUGUGGGUUGCUGACAGUCAAUUUGAGAUGGCAUUUCAGGUAGGCUUUAGGAAUUUGGUGACUAUUUAAUGUGACAGGAUGAUUUUUAUUUUAUGCCAGGCUUUCUAUCUAAAUGGCAUAAAUAAAAAGGGCUGCAAUUCUAGGUCAUGUACAAACAGAAGUGACGCAGCUUGUUUCAGGUGAUUAAGUUCUGGGUCAAAGGACAAGAGUGCCACUCUUUGUGCUGUAGAUUGCUACUAGUUUCUUUCUGAGUCCUUUAAUGUGUCAUUAAAGUCCUCUGCCUGCCUUCUCCAGAGAGUCUCAGAGCUAAAACAUCGAUACUGUAAAAUAUACUACCCUGUUAUCAUACCGGUAAUAAUCCUAUGUGUUAAGCCUGAGAAUACAAACUAAGUGUAUAUUGUAAACUACAUAUUUUGUUCUGGUAAAUGAGAAAAAUUGCAAGAUGUUUACUUGCAAAAGGUGUUUUGCCUAGUUUCUCCAUACUUGAUGUUAAUCUGCCCUUGACAGCUAUUAAAGUAGAAAUUACUGCCACUGUAUUGCACAAAAGCAGAGAUUCUGCAAUUGUGAUUUUAAUGUAGUUUGGAACACUUUGUAGUCUUCAGAGUCAGACACAUUUUCCCCAUCGCCCAAAUUAUUUUAAAUUGCAAGUAAAGUUUUGCAAAGCUGUUACCAUUAUUUUCUCAGUUCACCUAAGCUGUUUUUACAAGACAUGUUAUCUAAGCGAAAUCACAACAUCUUUUAUUAAAGUAGUUAUAAGAGCAUUGAAACUGUCAGCUGUAAUUUGCAGCUUUUUCUCCUUUAGAUUCUGCACUAUUGCUGAAAAAAAAAAAAAACAAAACCAAAACCCACAGAAAACAAACCCCAGUAACCUAAGUUACAAUCCUUUUUUUUUUUAAUAUAUAUUUGCCCAGUGUGAAUUUUAGAGAAGAUACCUGUAAAAGUUUAUUUGAAGAGGAAAGAGCAGAACUGCCAAUGGGCAGCCUGAAAAAUGUCUGAUGAUGCUGUGGUCAAGAGCGUCACACCUAUGGGAUAAAGAGGAUAUUUUGUUGUCUUUGCAUCUUCUACAUGUAAGAGUGCAUUUAAGCUGAAGUGAAGGCCAGAACCUGAGCCCAGAACUACAGUCAAGGAGAAAGCAUCUUCUUUUUAGAUUUUUCUAUGACUUAGCCUGCAGUUCUGCCUACAAAUCUCCAAAUCACUGCUAGAGAAGCAGAUGCAGUUGUUUAUGUGCAGGUGUGCUGCAUACCUGAUGUAAUCCUGCAAGUUCUACAUCCACAGAACUUCUGCAGAAUUCUGAGUGAGGUCUGUGCUUGGAAGGCUUCCACAUCCAGGUUCUCACAUCAGGAAAACCUCAAUCAAAGCCCUCAAUCAAAGUUCAAAAGCAAACAAACAAGCGGUCUUUCCUUAUUGCUGACAUUAAUCUUAUCUGAGUCUCAGUCCCCCAGACCUCUCUCCUAUGAGUUACCUAGGUCUGUGACACAGACCAUAUUUUGUUUUCAGAUGCUAAUGUAGCUUUUACUUCAUGAUCACAUUAAUUGCAUUUGUGCGGUGGAGAUUUUUAAUCCCAAAAGGUGCUGCCAGCUUUUGUGUACUCAAUUUAUGCUUAAGAGGAGUUUCUGCACUUCACAGUGACCUCUGCUGACUUUCAUAUAUUUAAAUUCUGAAGUUGUGAAUCUCCUUGAUUCAUCUUCUGUUAAAGCAUGUCUGCUAUGCAAAAACUGGCAGGGGGGUUAAGGAGGAUGAAAAAAGCGGUAUUACAGAGAACCAGGAUAUGGCAUGGUAUUUGUUCCUUGAAGGCAUGUUGCCACCAAGAAUAACACCAAGAAUAAUGAUCACACAAAGAGAAAAAAAGAGUGCUGGAGAUCUAUGAAAUUUACUUGAUUUUGAAAAGCUUAGUUGAAGAAAGACCUAGAGGUCUGACAAUGCCUACUGAGCUCCUUAAAUGCAGCGGGUUGGCACUCUGUGGAUGUGGCAUAUCAUCUGUUGGACAGAGUAAGUCAGCCAUUCUCCUGGCUCUGCUCUAGCUAUGCACAGCUGGGAAUUUCACAUCAGGAAAGGGAGGAGGAUACACAAACUCCUGAUAUUUCAGAAGAUGUGCAUGCUAAAAUGCAAAGCCCUGGGUGCUGGAGGUAGCUGUGAUGAGUUUAUGGCGCAGGAGCCACAGCUGGUAGGAAGAUACAUGAUCUCACCCGAAAAUGCUGUGUUAUUUUAGUCUCUCUUUUACACACAUAGAAGAAUCAAACAGUUUGAGGAUGAGAGAUUUGAGAAGCAAAAUGGAAGAGAUCAGAUUGUUACACAAGAAGAACUAAGGGAGCUUUUAGUAGAUGAGUAGGAACAAGAUGAAAUGCUGUAAUACCCAGUGCAAGGUCAGUGGGUAUUAUUAAAGGCAAAACACUGGAAUUUCUGCUCUAGACGCUUGGUGAUUAAGGACUCCAUACAUGAACAAGUAGUUCUUGCUCCAGUCAUCAAACAGCCACACCAAAGAAUGAGUAAGAUGAAAGGCAAGGCUGCUGUGGAAUGUGGAGCUGAUGAGAUAGCCGCAUGCUGAGAACACGUUGGAGGUGAAAUCGAUGAGUGAAUUCAGUUGAUUGCACCUUCUGUAAAAUGUAAAGAAGCAGAGAAGAGUAAGAAGUUUUCAAUGAUUCUAAGAAAUCAGAGCAAAAAAAGACAAAACAAAAUCCCAAAACAACCUGAGAGACUGCUUCCAUGACACUGCAGUCUUAUGGGUUACGCUGUCAGCAAAAAGACUGUGAGUUUUCUGUAGACUCAGCAAGAAUGGCCAUGCGGCAGCAGUUAGCACUGUGUGCAAUGCUGGAAGUGAUAGGAACCAACUGGAGCAGUGACUGGAAGCAGAAGUCUUCAGAAGAGCAUCAGCAUUCUGUGAUGUGAGGAAAAUGCUGUCCUGCCCCUUUAUACUGGUGGUGUGUUUAGUGGACUGGGACAAAUAUCUCUCAUUAGAUGGGAAUUCUGAGUUUUUCCUUUCUUUUGUUUCAAUAACAUGAAUACUGGAGAAGGAAAGUAGGCUGCUCUGCAUCUGAAAGGGAAAGCAGUGAAGUCUGUGAUCUCUGUUUGCUUAAAUGCUAAACAGAAAGAAAGAAGAAAGAAGGAAAGAAGGAAAGAAAGAAAGAAGAAGGAAGGAAGGGAGG